CCAAAGCAGAAGUCAGCAGGAAUGGGAGCUGCAACAAAGCACGAAGAAGAGAAAACAGAAAACAUCCAUUGAAUCCUCUGCCUCUGGUAAUGUAUGGCUCCCAGUAUGCCUCCUUCAAGAGCAUGACUGACCCAAUUACUAGUAUGAGCAAAAGGUAUCUAAAGUAAAUGGCCUUAUGUAUAAUCCUGAAUUAUAAAUGGCUGAAGAGGAACAGCCCCAGUCUGCAGCGCCCAGGGAGACCAACGCAGAAGGCAGAAAGUUUCAGAAAGGUGAUGAAAUUUAAGCUGGGCUUUAAAGGCUACAUCAAAUUUGACAAAUGGAAUUGUGAGGAAAGCACAUUAGAAGUAAAGAGUGAACCCACAAAAACAAGAGAACAUCAUGUUUCUAGAGGCUGCCUGCAUUCCUUGGCUAAUGACUUUGCAUCACUCUGACGUCUUGCUCCCAUGGUCGUAUCACCUACUACUGGCCCUGAUCUCACUACUUGUUAUAUGGAACAAAGGGAUAAGGAAGUGACUUGCCUAAGUCACUGAGGAACCUAAUAUUGAGAUUAGCACUCAAUGAUUCCUGGCUCUCAGAAUGUGUGCUGCUACCACCAGGCCACACUCUUCCCUCCAGAGAGAAGAUGUGUCAGCACGGAAUUGUGCUGAAGCAAAGAUGUGAAAUAGAAUGAUUACAUAUCUACCUAGUGGGAAGAUCUGGGGAAGAAUCUAUCAGUGCUGGCAGAGAAGCAAACCAUACGACAUCACUCAUCCCCAGAAAGUGAAGUUAAGGGAAAUAAAAAACAAUCUACACCAUUUAGAAAACACAGCCACCCCAUACCCUUGGAAAAAAUACACUAAAAUAUCUUCAUCUGAUUUGACCUCUAAUAACAUGAAUAAUUGUCUUAUAACUCACUUUCUUACCUCUUGAUUAUUCUACAGAUCCGGCACAUAUGAGCAAAAUCUGAUGAAAUUCACUCAUUUAAUUUGAAGAUUUUAAUUAUGUAGAAAA
rnacentral:lncRNA from 1 species